CACCACUCAAGCCCGGCUUGGUAUUGGGCGGCGGGGCUCUCCCGCGCCUUAAUUUCACCGGCUGGACGACCCGUAUCUCAGCGUUGUGGCAUCAAAUUCGCUGGCGAGAAGGGUGGUCCGCGCCGUUAAAAUUUCAAUCAAGG
rnacentral:misc_RNA from 1 species